AUCUAUAUUGGAACCAGAGAAGUCCACAUGCACUUCCCCUCUGAAGGCGAUGCAUCUAAAACCAAAGGAGGCAAAUCAUCAAGGACGGAUGGGCAGACUACGAAGAAGAAGUGGUAAAGACUGAAGACAUAUAGCUUGAACAGAACUGUCCUGAGGAGACCGUAGCACCGAGUCAGGUGUGGAGAGAGAAGAUAGUUAUACACGAAGAAGAGGUGCCGCCAGAACCACUGACUACGCCAUCUAGCAAAUCCUAGGACGACUAAGAAAAAUAGAGAGUCCCGUUCGGAGGACUUAAGAACAUCGAACGCCUUGCCAAGAGGUAAACUUGAUAGUUAUCCUUUUCCUUUCAAUAGUUUGCUUAGUUAAUCAGGUUCAUGCUAUCAUAAAAAGAAAAUAAAAAUGUUAAAAAUAGUAAGCCCCAUGUGAGUAGACUUGUGGUUUAAAAACCCAUAGGUAUAUUGACUGUGGUGGCAUAAAAUAAAUAUGUUUUCAUCUUACAAUAA
rnacentral:lncRNA from 1 species